GUGUGGGGCUCUUCCCCAAGAAUGCAGAAAUGAUACCCAUUGUUAAAAAGCAUAAAUUCUCUCCUCACUCUGUGUCCUAAGACUCGUGCUAGAGGUGGCUCAAGGACUAGUAAGAUCCCAACACCGCCCUCGUGCACACAUACAAAGGGACUUUGGCAAACAAUGGCUGGGAGGAAAGCACAGGUCUGUCCUUCUUGCGGUCAUUUCUACACACUGGUUGGCACCAGGAAAUGCAGGCAGAAACCUCAAGGGUUUUCUUUCCUGGCUUGUGGGUCUGUGGUCACUUGCUGUUCCUUGAGACAAUAAGUCUAUUUGUGAAAGGCAGCCAUGGACUAGGUCACGAGUUAAUUCAGGCAAAUCAAAGACUAUAUCCUGUGUAUGUAUGGCUGAAGCUGAAAGGUGGGAGUCGUGUGGAGAGGUUGGAUGUGUGUAGAUAGAUGGGCAGAUGUGAUUUUUUUUUUCAAAGUGAUUUUUGCUCCAUGGGUUUGAUGAGAGCCUGUAGACUUUGGUAUAGUGUUGUGGGGACAUCAGAAGGGAUUCAAGCUAUGGAGUAGGAUUAAAUGGCCUUGAAACUACUUUCCUAUGUUGAAGUUUUGUGAGAGAUGUUUAGAUGUUCCAUGUCCCUUUCUCCAAAUUUGGCUCAAAACUGUUUUCUUUUUGGUUGGCUAGUUUGGUUAGUUUUUGUUUUUUGGAGACAGGGUCUUAUCUAUCCAAGGCUAUGAACUUACUAUACAGGUGAAGGUGACCUUGAAUUCUUAAUCCUCCUAGUGCUGGAAUUGCAGGUGUGGGCCACCACAUCCAUUUUAUGGCUGGUUGAACCUAGGGCUUUGUACAUCUUAGGUAAACACUCUGCUAGCUUGAGCUAUAUCCUCAAUUGGUUCUUAAGCCUUCUAUGUUCACAUAUAUCUUCAGUGCCUUGAUUGUUGAUAGCCACAGGAUGGUAGAUUGCUCCAAAUGAAAGCAAAAGCUUUUUCAGCACAUUCCUAACCUGGCCUGGCUCUCCUGGUUCCAGGCAGGACAUUGAUGGAAGACAGAGACAGCCGUCUCCUGGACUAGCCCCCUUAGCCCUACACUGCUCUUGGCUGCCCCUCCACGGAAUCAGGUUGAAUCCUCCAAUGCUAGGGGUUUGAGUCCAGUCUGCUGAAGGGAGCAUGAGAGAGGCUCUUUGGCGUCUUGAUAUACAACCCCAUCCAUCUCCCAUCCUGACAGCUCCCUGUGGAAGAGUGCCUCACAGUUACAUCAGCACACUCAACAACCCAGCCCCCCUGGCCCAAGCCCAUCUCUGUUUAUAGGAGCCCAAACACCAUGUGACUUCAUGAAUGCAUUGUGAUUAAUUUAGCCAAAGUACAUCAAGCAUCUCUUUAUGUCAGACAUUAUUGUCCAAUGAGGAUAGAGCAAUGGGCAGAAGCAUAUAGGGUCCUAAUCCUGUGAGCAUCAUACUGUGAAUAUAGCAAGAAGUUGAUGUUAACCCAGUGAUCCUUACAAACAAAUGCAAAGUUUCAAUGGCAUCUAAAAUGGGUACAACACCAAAAACACUGCCGCUGUAGAGUCACUUUGGCUUCAUCUGGAAACUGAGGAACAUAAAGAAUGAGAAGGAAGAUACUGACACCGUUCAGCCUAUCUGUGCGACUGAGACUGAGGAAGAGCACCGUGAUCAGAUCUGAGUGGUCUGAUGUGCCCAAGGAUUAAGAGUAGGAGCGGAUGUAGGAAAGCUUGCAGGAGAAGCUAACACUACCUCAGUAGAA